rnacentral:rRNA from 1 species
AGUAAUGUAUGGGGAGUCUACCCGAUAGAGGGGAAUAACUACUGGAAACGGUGGCUAAUACCGCAUAAUGUCUACGGACCAAAGCAGGGGCUCUUCGGACCUUGCACUAUCGGAUGAACCCAUAUGGGAUUAGCUAGUAGGUGGGGUAAAGGCUCACCUAGGCGACGAUCUCUAGCUGGUCUGAGAGGAUGAUCAGCCACACUGGGACUGAGACACGGCCCAG